rnacentral:rRNA from 1 species
UACGUAGGGUGCAAGCGUUAAUCGGAAUUACUGGGCGUAAAGCGUGCGCAGGCGGCUUUGCAAGACAGAUGUGAAAUCCCCGGGCUCAACCUGGGAACUGCAUUUGUGACUGCAUGGCUAGAGUACGGUAGAGGGGGAUGGAAUUCCGCGUGUAGCAGUGAAAUGCGUAGAGAUGCGGAGGAACACCGAUGGCGAAGGCAGCCCCCUGGGCUAGCACUGACGCUCAGGCACGAAAGCGUGGGGAGCAAACAGG